rnacentral:rRNA from 1 species
AUUGAACGCUGGCGGAAUGCUUUACACAUGCAAGUCGAACGGCAGCACGGGUGCUUGCACCUGGUGGCGAGUGGCGAACGGGUGAGUAACAUAUCGGAACGUAUCCAAUAAUGGGGGAUAACUAAUCGAAAGGUUGGCUAAUACCGCAUACGCCCUACGGGGGAAAGCUAGGGACCUUCGGGCCUGGCGUUAAUGGAGCGGCCGAUAUCUGAUUAGCUAGUUGGUGGGGGAAUGGCCUACCAAGGCGACGAUCAGUAGCUGGUCUGAGAGGACGACCAGCCACACUGGAACUGAGACACGGUCCAGACUCCUACGGGAGGCAGCAGUGGGGAAUUUUGGACAAUGGGCGCAAGCCUGAUCCAGCCAUUCCGCGUGAGUGAAGAAGGCCUUCGGAUUGUAAAGCUCUUUCGCAAGGGAAGAAAACUUAUCCUCUAACAUAGGAUGAGGUUGACGGUACCUUGAUAAGAAGCACCGGCUAACUACGUGCCAGCCGCCGCGGUAACAC